GACGUCACAGCAAGAGCUGGUUAGGAAGUCUGGAGACGUCGGUGGGAACCUGGAGAAUAGUUAUCCUUUUUGUUUAGCAGCCUGCCCACCCUGGAAUCGGCUCAGCCAGAGGUAGGGUCCAGCAGCUUAAAGAUCACUGCACGUCGCGUGGUAUCUGGUGUACUCCCGAUGGCCCUUGAAAAUUUGGAGGACCGAGUGUCGUAC
rnacentral:ncRNA from 1 species